CCCUUUUAAUACUAGUCCAAACUUUUGUUAACCGUAUUACAAAUGUAAACGCCCCCUCUUUUCCCUUAUAACCAUUCUUACUCAGUAAACAUGGUCUUCUUUACCCGUAAGACCAGUCAGACUAUGUCUGCAUUCCUCCUUUUCCUUUCCUAUAUGACAAUUUUGACUCAUUUAUCGUCCGGUCUCAAUACUCUUGUAACUGUCUGAAUCAGUUCUCAUACUUUCUUAUCCUCUGACCAGUCUUUCGCAGUUGUGAACCCUCCUCCUUAACCUUUUGAUUAGUUUGAAUCAGUACUGAUCCCUCCUACUUUCCGUUAUGACCUGUCUGAAUCAAGACCUGUGAUAUCCUAGAUCUUUUUGACUUUGGAGGGUAUGAUUCCCAAUGUGUCAACAAACGACAACCAAUGAAUACCAUACUCAUAGCUGGUACAUACGAAAUGUGACCGAUUUCAAUAUUAUUGCGGUCAUAGGGCUGUCACAAUGAAUUUUCCUUUAAAAAUUAUUGUCAUUGAUUUACCAGGACGACAGCAAGUACAUACCCGUAAAAACACCAAAAACCCUUAAG
rnacentral:lncRNA from 1 species